GACAGAGGGGGCGAGCGUUGUCCGGAGUCACUGGGCGUAAAGCGCGCGCAGGCGGUGUCCUAAGUGUCGUGUGAAAGCCCCCGGCUCAACUGGGGGAGGGCACGGCAGACUGGGUCGCUCGAGCUGCGGAGAGGCCCCUCGAAUUGCCGGUGUAGCGGUGAAAUGCGUAGAGAUCGGCAGGAAGACCAAGGGGGAAGCCAAGGGGCUGGCCGCAUGCUGACGCUGAGGCGCGACAGCGUGGGGAGCAAACCGG
rnacentral:rRNA from 1 species